AUGCAAGGACAUCUGAAGCGUGGUUUAUCGUUUCCACUGUUCAGUUCAGGUUGGCCUGCAUUCGUGGCCCACCUGGGCUGUGCCCUGCUGCAGCCAUCCUGGACCCUGGCUGGGGACCCCAGCUCUGCCCUGGGAAGGAACUCCUACUUUCCCUCCCCUGUGCCCCAAACCCUGCAGGUCCCCUCCACUACCCUCCCUCUGAGCUGCCCUGCCUGGGCCAUGACUGAUUAUGGAGCCCUCUGGUCCCAGGGCCCAGCCUGUCCACUAGACAAAGGGCUGGCUCCUAAGGUCUGUCCCCUCAGCCCAGCGUCUGAGUCCACAUCCUUCCUGAGCAGAUCUUUCCUGCUCCCUCUCCUUACCCCCAUGACCUCCCUUCUACUGCACCCACCUGAGCUUUUCCUACAUUCCUUUGCUCCUGAGCAUGUCCCCAGCACCAGGUUUAAUUCUUCAUUGUCCUUGAACUCCUCUCUUCCACCCUCACUGAAAUGUCAUCAGUUGUCAGAGCCAAUGUCAUUGCUGUCUAUGGCCAGUGCCCAGGCGUACUCAAUACCUUUUCAUACUAGACCAUCAGCCACCAUUACUCGGGGCCACCCAGCUUCCCUGAAGCUCCUCAUUUAUUCCCAGGGAGUGGUGGUGGGGCGGGGGUGGGGAACAGUUGCUUGCCUUCCAUUUGGGGCCCAAAUCCUGCACCCCUGGGCGGGGCGGCCUCCAGCCCAACAUCCUCUAUCCCACUUGAAGCCCCUGCAAUGCCUCCCCUACACUCAGAUGCGCGGCGGCCCCAUCUUUUGUCCCAGCCUCCGCCUUCCGCCGGUCUGGGACCCGCAGCGACCCACUACGGGGGGCUCCAGGCUCAGGCGGGCUGAAGGCGCAGGAGCGCGUCUCCUCUCCCGCAGCUCCCCAGCCUCCAGGACGGCGCCCCCCGCGCACCCGGCCUCGGACCCUUCUGGCGUCCCGCCCCGAUCCCGCCCCGAGAGCGCACGAGGCUCUGCGCGCCGCCGGGACGCGCGCAGCAGUUGGGAACUGCCGUUUUCCGGGAGCCUCGGCGCUCGCGGGGGGCGGAGCCUCGGGGCGGGGCCUCGCCCAGCCAACGGCCAGCGGCGGAGAGAGAAGCUCGCCGGGGUGGGCGGAGCCGGCAGGGCCCCGCCCCGCCCCGCCCCGCCCCGCCCCGCCCCGCCCCGCCCCGCCGCGCGCUCCUCCCGCGGGCGGGGGCGCUGGCGCUGGCGCUGGCGCGGGGGUUCCUGGCGGUUCGCGCCUGUGGCCCUGCGCCCCUCCGAACUCAGACGCUCGACAGCCCGGUUUUCUGUUCCAACCUCCGUGGGGAGGGGGCGAGGACCAACUUAGAGGGUUUCCCGAGACAUCCCUGAUUUCAAAUAUCCUGUCCGGUUGUCAGACGGAGCCCCUUUCCGUGCGCUUUGGAGAAUAGCCCAUGCGUUCGCUUCCUAAAGGGUCUCAGAUUGAACUGAAUAGAAGUGAUGGAGGGUUCCCAUGUUCAGGCUUGAUCCACCACAUUGUCUCUGGGGUCCGGAAUGUCUGUUUGCGGGGCGGGGGGCAGCAGACAUCGCCUUCCCAAGUCUUUGGGCUUGGAGGACUGGGCAGUGCCGAGGCCAGAGGCCAAGGACUUUGAGGGAGCUGGAGAGAGCAGGACGGAGGUGGGGGUAGGGUGGGCUCAUCUUACCCAGUGAGACUGAGGCCCUGCCCACAGGUUUGGGGUGCUGUCAAGUCCUACUUCCUCCCCAUCCACCCUGAAAUCAAAGGAUCUUUUUUAGCUUCUUCAAGAAAAAUUCAGGCCUCAGUUUCUACAAAGCACCUUCUUGCCAGAAGGAGCAGGCAGACUACAUCUCUCUCCCUAUUUUAGACAGAGUCCUGGAUAAUCAGGUCCUUCCUCCCCACUCCGUCUUUCCUCCCCACUGAGAUUCCAACUCUAGUGAGGAGAUAAAGCAGUGACUGAAAAGAGAGGGGGUGAAAAGUCAUUUCCUUUCAGUCUAACAGGUCCUAAGAGAAACCUGGAGGAAGUAGAAUUAAUAAACUGAAAGUGGUUGCCA
rnacentral:lncRNA from 12 species